rnacentral:tRNA from 1 species
GGCCUGAUGGUCUAGUAGUAUGAUUCUCCCUUCGGGCGCCGAGCCUGUCUCACGAGAGAUAUAACUGGGAGAGGUCCCGGGUUCAAUUCCCGGUCAGGCCC